GAAUUUUGGACAAUGGGCGCAAGCCCGAUCCAGCAAUGCCGCGUGCAGGAUGAAGGCCUUCGGGUUGUAAACUGCUUUUGUACGGAACGAAAAGCUUUGGGUUAAUACCCUGCAGUAAUGCCGGUACCGUAAGAAUAAGCACCGGCUAACUUCGCGACAGCCGCCGCGGUAAAAAGUCGGGUGCAAGUGUUAAUCGGAAUUACUGGGGGUAAAGCGUGCGCAGGCGGUUGUGUAAGACAAAGGUGAAAACCCCGGGCUCAACCUGGGAACGGCCUGUGGGACUGCAAGGCUAGAGUACGGCAGAGGGGGGUGGAAUUCCGCGUGUAGCAGUGAAAUGCGUAGAUAUGCGGGGGAACACCGAUGGCGAAGGCAACCCCCUGGGCCUGUACUGACGCUCAUGCACGAAAGCGUGGGGAGCAAACA
rnacentral:rRNA from 1 species